rnacentral:rRNA from 1 species
AGUGAACGCUGGCGGUAUGCCUAACACAUGCAAGUCGAACGGCAGCACAGUAAGAGCUUGCUCUUACGGGUGGCGAGUGGCGGACGGGUGAGGAAUACAUCGUACUCUACUUUUUCGGGGGGGAUAACGUAGGGAGACUUACUCUAAGACCGCAUACGACCUACGGGUGAAGGCAGGGGAUCUUCUGACCUUGCGCGAUUGAAUGAGCCGAUGUCGGAUUAGCUAGUUGGCGGGGUAAAGGCCCACCAAGGCGACGAUCCGUAGCUGGUCUGAGAGGAUGAUAAGCCACCCUGGAAGUGAGACACGGACCAGACGCCUAAGGGAGGCAGCAGUGGGGAAUAUUGGACAAUGGGCGGAAGCCUGGUCCAGCCAUCCCGCGUGGGUGAAGAAGGCCUUCGGGUUGUAAAGCCCUUUUGUUGGGAAAGAACAGCAGCCGGUUAAUACCACGCUGUUCUGACGGUACCCAAAGAAUAAGCACCGGCUAACUUCGUG